rnacentral:rRNA from 1 species
UACGGAAUGUGCAAACGUUAUUCGGAAUCACUGGGCUUAAAGAGUCCGUAGGCGGCUUGUUAGGUGAGGUGUGAAAUCCCUCGGCCCAACCGAGGAAUUGCGCUUCAAACCGGCAAGCUCGAGGAGGAUAGAGGUGGGCGGAACUGAUGGUGGAGCGGUGAAAUGCGUUGAUAUCAUCAGGAACACCGGAGGCGAAGGCGGUCCACUGGGUCCUUUCUGACGCUGAGGGACGAAAGCUAGGGUAGCGAACGGGAUUAGAAACCCUUGUAGU